GAGGGAGAAGGCGGGUUGCACGGCAGCGGCAUGGGCAGGGCGAGGGAGAGAAGUUGCAGGCGGCUCCUGCCGGGGCUGGCUGGGCAGGACGCGGGGUGCCCGAGGCCAGGGGGCGCCGAGCGGGGCAGCGUCCCGGGGCAGCGCCGCGGACGGGACGAGCCCCGGGGGGAGGCAGAGACAGGAGCUGCCAGCGCCUCCGAAGUUGAGGUCAGUGUGCUGGGGUGGGAGGUUGUUGCUGGCUUCUUGGAAGCAUGCAUCCGUCUGCAUUGGGUUAAUCCUCCAGAAGCUGGUGAGCCACUGACUAACGCACAUUGUGCUGUUAAAGACUCCACUGUGCGUGUGACAGCGGCUAACCUGCUUUUCGGACAUCACUGUAUACACGCCAUCAUCCUGCCCCAUGAAGAGGCAUUACUUGAUCCUGGGGACUGCACCUAGCUUCCAUCAACAUGGUAGGAGAGAGCUGUUCACAUCCCAGCAGCAGCCCCUGACAAAUUCACCGACCUGAACUAUUGUGAAAUCUUCAGAAAAGUUUGCUUGCAAUUUGUUUCUUUCCUUUAAAACUCAAGCUGAGAGGGAGCACAGUACCUUUUCUUAAAAUAAGUUCAUUGAUUGUACUAUGUUUAAUGAGUUCCCCUUGAUACGUGUGCCUUUCAGACACUGUGUGUUUUUGUUAGUUUGUUUUUUUUAAAUUAGCAACCUCUCAGUGGCAGAGCAUUGAAAGACUUAAUGCUUCUGGGCCAUUCUGCUACAAGGACCCAGUGAAGUGUAUACAUUAUGACGUGAGCUAGGGCUUCUGUGACAGGAAACAGCUAUAAAGUCUUCCUGGGAAGACUGCAAAUGCAAUAGCACAUCUUUGAAAAUGAGACCCUGCUUCCCUCCACCUCACCCAUUCCUUCCAAAAAGCUAGUGACUUGGGGUUUUGUUUAAAUCAUGUUAGUUGGAGAAACUCUUCAGCCAGCCAGUGACAUCUUGGUACCCAGUCAAUGACUAAUUGAACUCCUGCUGCCAAGGGUGUGUUAACAGAAUAAACUAUGCUUGGUAUUGCCCUGGUGAGUCAUUUUAAAGACUCUCUUAAAUCUGUUUAGAAGUAAAGCAUAAACCAGUUUCACCUUCCAGUUUUUCUUAGCACCUUUGCAGUUUCUUGCAGCUGGCUGUGUUUUAAAUGAAGGCUCUGCUCCUUUCCAAGCCAGUUUUCUCUCCUGAUUUGAUCCUGCAGUGAAGUCUUACUGAUAAAAACUCAAGUGACUCCAUUCAUUUCUCUAGCAACAGAAUGUGAUGUCACAAAUGCAGAAUCAGCACUUCAUUGCUUGCGUCAUGCGGAAAGCAAAGGCAAUGAGAGGGAAGUUUCAGAUAUUUGUGGUUGCAUUAAACAGCAACAGUAAAGAGGACAGAGGAAGUGACCAAGCAAAUUGUGUUUGGUAUAAAGUUCUUUCAGUUUUGCUCCAUUAUGGAAACUCACUAGCUACAGAGUUUGCUCUUAGGGUGAGGUGUGGGGCUGUUUUACUUCUAGAUGACUUCAUGACUCCAAGCCAGGUUAGUAGCAACCAGAUACUGUUUACCGAUAGCUGUUUAGUGGCCUCUAUGAAAUGAUUUGGUGCUCUCCAUUUCAUUCCAGCCAUACCUUGGGGGAAACCUAGCAUUUCAUCCCAUUGAAAAAAAAAAGAGAUGUUCUUUUAGUGGCCAAAAAGGCUCAGGUUUGUUUGUACGUAAUUAGUAACACAAGAAAGUUUGAAGUCAGGUCUUUCUCAUACAGCUACAAAUCAGAUAAAGCAAGAAACUGCUUUAAAAGAGAAAGUGUAAGUCUGUACCUUCCUGAGCAGCAUAUUCUUGCUAAGCAUUUUCCCCUCACAUCCUGAAGUGGGCAUGUUUGCUCUCCUGAGAGGAAGUCAACUCUUCUGUCCUCUGAUCAGGGUAACUAAGUCCAGCUGGCUGGGUCAGAAACACAGCUGUGUCCUCUUAGCCCAAAUAACCUGGAAGGGAGGAGAGCAGCUUUGGCAGCUGCUGGUGGCUGCAUCUACACAAUAGCUGCCUGGCUCUCUUGUGAUGUUAAAAAUAGGAUCAGGGUGUUUGUGGUUUCCCCUACCCCCAAAUACCCUAUCAAGAAUCUGCAAAUGCUCAUAACCUCCCUCCCAAAGCUGGCUUGCUCAAUAGAGAGGCUGAGAACUGACUGGGCCACAGAGAAUUAACUACCUUCUCCUAGGGCAGUUAAGAGGCUGGUCAGUGGAAGGAUAGAGCAGGGGACUCUUGUAUUGUAGAUAUCUGUGAUGCAACAAUUCUGCAGACAAACAGAGGAUGUCAGUUUCUGAGGCCAUCUACUCUGAUCGCUAUUUAUAUUACCACCAGUCAGUGGCUUAGCUACACAAGUGAUUCUACUCUCAGAGCUGCACUGGUGGGACGCAGCAGUAGGGAAACUUGAAAACCACUAGUGUAGACCAGGCCUGGUGCUUUUGCACCUUUCUCAGUUCAAACUAGGACAAAACUUGGCUAUGGUAUGGAAGCCCCCAGGGCUGGCUCCAGGCACCAGCGUUCCAAGCAGGUGCUUGGGGAGUCAAUCUGCAAGGGGCAGCCGUCCAUGCGCCGUUAGGGCGUUUCCACGGCGGUGGCGGGAAUUCGGCACGCUGCUCAGGACAGCAAAAAACAGUAGAGCCAGCCCUGGAAGCCUCCACUUAAUAAGUCUGCACUGAAACUUACAGCUAUACAAUGGGACAGUUCCUUAUUUCAUGUGUGUACAUAGUCUAUAACAUGCAUUCUGCUGAAAAGGAGACCCUUGGACUGGCCAUGAGGAGGCUUUAUAAUGUCAAAAUGUGGACUCCCUAGGCUGAUACUUGCUGGGUAUGAGAUCAUCUUUGCAGACAUGUUGAUUUCAAAUUCCUCUUAGGUGGUAGCUGCAUUUCUACCUAUGAUACCGAAGUGUGACAAUACCAUACCUGAGAACCAUAUUUCCCCCCAAAUUUACAAUAUUCUUGUACUGGUAUCACAUCCUGUGCAGCUCCAAUAAGAUAAGUGGGGAGUUUGAAGCAACAAACUCCUCCCCCCCCGCCCCCCCUUGUCUAUUCACCAUGGAGAAUGGUGUGUUGCUGGUUUUUAAAAAAAAAAAAAAAAAAAAAUGCUUCUAUGGUAAGAGUCUAGUGCUGUGAUCAGACUAGCCUGUUGUCACCUACAGUUCUCAAUAAAUACUACAAUAUCACUGUGUAUACAUUCAUUAUUACAUUCAUGACCCUGGGAUGAUGAAAGCUUAAGUAGAUCCAGCUGUGAGACAUGAUAGGCUGGCCCAACAACUGAAAAUGAAAAUCCCUUCCUUUCAGUAUCUCUGCUACAUAAUAUUAAAGCCUCUGGGUUUUUUGCCUCUGCUUUCACUGCCCCGGCAGUAGUGGACUGUCCAUUGGCUUGAGUAGGAAAGUGGAGUGGACUAGCUGUGCUGAAGAAGUAUGGUGUUCGGAGGUGUCUGUCUGUACUAGAACAAGCUGAAAUGUUCACCUUACUGUCCUCUUCCAAUAGCUCUGAGAAGAACCUCUCAGCUUUGAAGCAUAAAAACCUUUGAUGUAGGUGGGUUAUAGUCACUCUGAAAGACAAUUCUGCUGAGAAAAUACAGCCCCCAGUUAAAUGGUGUGUGCUUGUGUGUCAUUUGCCUGGGGCGGGCAGGGGUUUGUAGAAUAUAAAAACUUAGCAAUUGUUAAGAAACAGAUACUAUAACCUGGAAUUCACAUUUACAACAGGAACGUUCAGGGCUAAAUUAAAGCAAGGGCUUAAAAGCCGUUGGUGUACAGACGGAGAAGUGAGUGUCUUGUAGUAGUAGUGGAGGGUGCUGAAAUGAAGCCUGUUUAGCAGAAAGAUCCUUCAGAUAUUUUAUAUUUAUUCUGCUUUGAUUUCAAAGCCUUGCAAAGGAGGCUGGUAGACCAAUAGAGUUUACCCAUUAGUGCUAGGAAAUGCAAGCACCCUUGUGUGUUUGUAAUGCACACGCCACUUGCAAAUCACAUGGUGUGUAUUAGGUGCGUUUAGACCUGAAUAUCAAUGAAGAGAGAAGCUAGUGUGUUAGGAAUAAAAGAAUAUCAAAAAGUUAAAAGAGGGUCUGUUACUUUUACAUAAGUGCAAGUAGGAGCUUAUAUAAUACUUUUUAAAAA